UAAAGCCUUAGCUUCUAGGGAAGGAGCUCUUGCUGAGGGCUUUUCUCAGGAGGGGAUUAGCGUGCUGUCCCUUUACAGCAUGGUGGUUGUGCUGCCGGCUGCUGCCCUGGCUGCCCUUGCUUGGCGCCUCUGAGGGCAGAGGGGCUUCUCCUGAGGGACAGAUGGCUGCUCCCUGUGGGGGACACCUCUUCCCUCAGUUACCACGCUGCACAAGACUGUUAGACUCUGGGCAGUACUCUGGCAUUGAAUUUAAUUUCAAGAGAAGCCCAAGGGAAAUCUGAGCUUUGAAGCAGAGAAGGAAAUACCGGGCAGGCCUGUUGCUGGAAACAGAGAAGAAGGAGGGAACAGUUAAUGGGAUGUGUUCAUCUUUUACUGUUAUGUGAUUAUGUGCUGGAACUGUAAAUUCUUCUGCUAUACCUUUUGAGGCAGAAUUGUAUGGAUGCAACCAAGGAGAAUGUUACCUGUGAAAUGACUUAUUUAGGUAAGAACCCCAAGAAAUUAUUCAUAAAGUAGCAAUUUGUUUCCUA
rnacentral:lncRNA from 1 species